AAUCAACGCUGGCGGCGUGCCUCAGGCAUGCAAGUCGAACGAUUAAGACUUCCUUCGGGAAGUGCAUAAAGUGGCGCACGGGUGAGUAACACGUAAGUAAUCUACCUUCGAGUGGGGAAUAACGUUCGGAAACGAACGCUAAUACCGCAUAAUGCAGCGGCAUCGCAAGAUGACAGUUGUUAAAGGAAUUUAUUUCGCUUGAAGAGGAGCUUGCGGCAGAUUAGCUAGUUGGUAAGGUAACGGCUUACCAAGGCUACGAUCUGUAUCCGGUCUAAGAGGACGGUCGGACACACUGACACUGAAUAACGGGUCAGACUCCUACGGGAGGCAGCAGUCGGGAAUUUUGGGCAAUGGGCGAAAGCCUGACCCAGCAACGCCGCGUGAAGGAUGAAGUAUUUCGGUAUGUAAACUUCGAAAGAAUGGGAAGAAUAAAUGACGGUACCAUUUAUAAGCUCCGGCUAACUACGUGCCAGCAGCCGCGGUAAU
rnacentral:rRNA from 1 species